AUUGUUGAUGUUUCUUCUUACAUUGUUUUCUGGCUGUUUGCCAGGACUAGAAAGCUGUAACUGGUGAACUGACUGGUUCACUGGAAUUUCAGAUACUCAUGUCAAAAAAGAAACACAUCAAAACUUCUUCAUCCCAAACUCCCAUUGACCAAACAUUAACCGCAAGUUAUUGGAAAAAAUGUUCCUGCCGUUCCGUCCAGACUCCAGACGUCUGAAUGCUAAGGAAUAUGUUGGAUAUCACUAGGUGGCUAAAAUUAUGUCUGCUAGAUGGCGCGAGUGUCUUCGUUACACAAAACGAAAUUCCGCCAUUUUAUAACACUGAUUGGAAACACAUGUUGAAAACGUAUCGUUGGAUUGGAUACUUAAUACGCCGUACUUUUCUUUCUUGAAAUUUUUAUUCGUAAAAAUGGUAUUUAUCUGGUAACAGCCUAUAAUUUCUACAUGGCAAGAUCGUGUGGCCUGAGCAGCUGAACAUUUUGCCAAAAUGUCGUCUCUUUUUUUCCUGUACCAGCUCCACGUUUGUCAGAAACACUUCAGAACAAUUCGGGAUUAACACCCUGGUGGAGUUUGAGCUUCUUUGUUGCUGCCCAACUUUCACAUGGAUUUGACGCAGCCAGCUGAGGGCUUUAAUUCUUGUUUAGCGUUUAUGUUCGCGCAGUUGCUUUCCGAUGUGGCACGUUGCUGCAGCCUAUACUGGUGAAAGAUCUUUCUACAUCAAGUUCAAUUGGCCGUUCCUUGGUGCUGGUGUCGUGUUACCGAAGUUGCAUCAUUAUUUUGUUAAAUUGUCAUCGUUACUAUGCAGUUUACCGUUUAUAAGUUAAGACGGAACAAAAACAAAUGGGAUGUUUAUGUCAUUCAAAUAAUAAACAUGUUUGCGGGGUUGGGAAAGGAAAAUGGGUAUCUUUCAAGUUUUGGAUAAAAAAUCAGUUAUUAAUCCAUAACCCCACAGCAUAUCCCUACCAACUAAUCUCCAAACCCCACAAACUUAUACCUUCCAAUUCUUCAAACCCCACUAACAUACACCUACCAUCCUCUAAAUUUAUACCCUAAACCCCAUAGACCAAUGCAAACCUAUGUAAACAAUGUAAUAUCUGUAAUAAAUAAAAAUAAACAUAUGAUUUGAAGUUUUGAAA
rnacentral:lncRNA from 1 species